rnacentral:rRNA from 1 species
UACGAAGGGGGGCUAGCGUUGCUCGGAAUCACUGGGCGUAAAGCGCACGUAGGCGGAUUGCUAAGUCAGGGGUGAAAUCCUGGAGCUCAACUCCAGAACUGCCUUUGAUACUGGAGAGCUUGAGUCCGGAAGAGGUGAGUGGAACUCCGAGUGUAGAGGUGAAAUUCGUAGAUAUUCGGAAGAACACCAGUGGCGAAGGCGGCUCACUGGUCCGGUACUGACGCUGAGGUGCGAAAGCGUGGGGAGCAAACAGG